CCUACGGGGGGCAGCAGUGAGGAAUUUUGCGCAAUGGGGGAAACCCUGACGCAGCAACGCCGCGUGAGUGAAGAAGGCCCUUGGGUCGUAAAACUCUGUCGACAGGGAAGAAGUUACCAUGCAUUAAUAGUGUUUGGUAUUGACGGUACCUGUGGAGGAAGCAUCGGCUAACUCCGUGCCAGCAGCCGCGGUAAUACGGGGGAUGCAAGCGUUAUUCGGAAUCAUUGGGCGUAAAGGGCACGCAGGCGGCCCUGUCAGUCAGAUGUGAAAGCCCGGGGCUCAACCCCGGACGUGCAUUUGAAACAGCAGGGCUUGAGUAUGGUAGAGGAAAGGGGAAUUCCUGGUGUAGAGGUGAAAUUCGUAGAUAUCAGGAGGAACACCGGUGGCGAAGGCGCCUUUCUGGACCAAAACUGACGCUGAGGUGCGAAGGCGUGGGUAGCGAACAGGAUUAGAUACCCCCGUAGUC
rnacentral:rRNA from 1 species